rnacentral:rRNA from 1 species
AUAAAGUUACUAAGGGCUUAGGGCGGAUGCCUUGGCACUAGAAAGCGAUGAAGGACGUGGUAAGCUGCGAUAAGCUUCGGAUAGUGGCACACACACAUUUUAAUCCGGAGAUUUCCGAAUGGGAAAACCCAUCAUUAACAUGAUAUCUUAAAGUGAAUACAUAACUUUAAGAGGCGAACGGGGAGAAGUGAAACAUCUCAGUACCCCCAGGAACAGAAAUCAAAAGAGAUUCCCCUAGUAGCGGCGAGCGAACGGGGAACAGUCCAAACUUAGUAUAUGUCAAGAUUCUGGUCGUUGUAUAUUAAGGGUUGUGGGACUUUUAGAAGUGUCCAGAAACACUUCACAGAGUUACAAAAUUUUAUUUUAGCAGAAGGGUCUGGAAAGACCUGCCAAAGAGAGUGAUAGCCUCGUAAGCGAAAAAAUAAAAUCUCUGAAGAGUAUCCCAAGUACCAUCGAACACGAGAAAUUCGUUGGGAAUCUGGGCGGACCACCGUCUAAGACUAAAUAUGUUCUAGUGACCGAUAGUGAACAAGUACCGUGAGGGAAAGGUGAAAAGAACCCCGAAAGGGGAGUGAAAUAGAACCUGAAACCCUAAGCCUAUAAGCUGUGGUAGCACUAUUUUAUAAGUGUAACCGCGUACCUUUUGCAUAAUGAGUCAGCGAGUUAUUUUCGUAGGCAAGAUUAAGCCGUUAGGUGUAGUCGUAGCGAAAGCGAGUCUGAAUAGGGCGUUAGUCUGCGGGAAUAGACCCGAAACCUGGUGAUCUAACCAUGAACAGGGUGAAGCUGAAGUAACAUUCAGUGGAGGCCCGAACCAGUAAAUGGUGAAAUAUUUUUGGAUGAUUUGUGGUUAGGGGUGAAAGGCCAAUCAAACUAGGUGAUAGCUGGUUCUCCUCGAAAUAUAUUUAGGUAUAGCCUUGAUUUUUUAUCCCGGAGGUAGAGCACUAAUUGGGCUAGGGGUCUUACCAGAUUACCAAACCCAGAUAAACUCCGAAUGCCGGUGAUAACUAGAUCAGGAGACAGUCAUGGGGUGAUAAGGUCCUAUGACAAAAGGGAAAGAGCCCAGAUCGUCAGCUAAGGUCCCCAAGUGUAAACUAAGUGGAAAACGUGGUGGAGUUACUCAGACAACUAGGAGGUUGGCUUAGAAGCAGCAAUCCUUUAAAGAAAGCGUAAUAGCUCACUAGUCUAGUGAUUCUGCGCGGAAGAUUCAACGGGGCUUAAGUUUACCACCGAAGCUACGGGUGCAACAUUUUUGUUGUGCGGUAGAGGAGCGUUCUAGUAUAGGCUGAAGGUUGACCGUGAGGACAGCUGGACGAACUAGAAGUGAUCAUGCUGACAUAAGUAGCGUAUAAAGCUAGGUGAAAAACCUAGCCGCCGAAAACUCAAGGAUUCCUGGGCUAGGAUAAUCCUCCCAGGGUUAGUCAGGACCUAAGGCGAGGCCUACGGGCGUAGUCGAUGGAUAAAAGGUUAAUAUUCCUUUACUAAUUUUAGCGUUAGGCAUAGGAGGGACGGACUAAGAUAGACCAGCCUGUUAUUGGAUUCAGGUGUAAGCGUGCAAGAGGUAGUAUAGGCAAAUCCGUACUACAUUACUCCUAGGCGUGAAUGCGAGAAGACUUUUGUCUUCAUAAGUGGUUGAAACUAUGGUUCCUAGAAAAGCUUCGAUGUUUGUUAAAAUUACCUGUACCGUAAACCGACUCAGGUGAGUGAGAUGAGUAUUCUCAGGCGAUUGGGUUAAUACUGGUUAAGGAACUCGGCAACUUGGCACCGUAACUUCGGAAGGAGGUGUGCCUUCUAGGGUGUAGUCUUUUACAGGCGAAGCCUUGGAAGGUCGCAGUGACCAGGGAGUAGCGACUGUUUAUCAAAAACACAGGGCUGUGCAAAGUCACAAGACGACGUAUACAGCCUGACGCCUGCCCGGUGCCGGAAGGUUAAGAGGAGGAGUUAGCUUCGGCGAAGCUUUGAAUUGAAGCCCCGGUAAACGGCGGCCGUAACUAUAACGGUCCUAAGGUAGCGAAAUUCCUUGUCGGGUAAGUUCCGACCUGCACGAAUGGCGUAACGACUUCUCCGGUGUCUCAACCAGAUGCCCAGCGAACUUGAAUUCUCGGUGAAAAUGCCGAGUACCCGCGGAAGGACGGAAAGACCCCGUGAACCUUUACUCUAGCUUGACAGUGAAUUUAGGAUCAAUAUGUGUAGGAUAGGUGGGAGACUUUGAAGCAGAAACGCUAGUUUUUGUGGAGUCACCCUUGAAAUACCACCCUUAUUGUUCUUGAAUUCUAACCUGCACCCAUUAUCUGGGUGAGGGACACUGUCUGGUGGGGAGUUUGACUGGGGUGGUCGCCUCCUAAAGAGUAACGGAGGCGUACAAAGGUUCCCUCAGCCCGAUUGGAAACCGGGCAUUGAGCAUAUUGGUAUAAGGGAGCUUGACUGCAAGACCUACAAGUCGAGCAGGUGCGAAAGCAGGUCAAAGUGAUCCGGUGGUCCCGAGUGGAAGGGCCAUCGCUCAACGGAUAAAAGGUACUCCGGGGAUAACAGGCUGAUACCGCCCAAGAGUUCAUAUCGACGGCGGUGUUUGGCACCUCGAUGUCGGCUCAUCUCAUCCUGGGGCUGAAGCAGGUCCCAAGGGUUUGGCUGUUCGCCAAUUAAAGAGGUACGCGAGCUGGGUUCAGAACGUCGUGAGACAGUUUGGUCCAGAUCCUCCGUGGGCGCAGGAAAAUUGAAUGGUGCUGACCUUAGUACGAGAGGACCGGGUUGGACGAACCUCUGGUGUUCCUGUUGUCAUGCCAAUGGCAUUGCAGGGUAGCUAUGUUCGGAUUGGAUAACCGCUGAAAGCAUCUAAGUGGGAAGCCAGCCAUGAGAUAAAUUUUCCCUGGGGCUUUAUGCCCCCUAAAGACUCCUUCGAGACUAGGAGGUUGAUAGGCAGAAGGUGUACGCAGAGUAAUCUGUUUAGCCGAUCUGUACUAAUUGGUCGUGAGACUUUAUUUU